rnacentral:rRNA from 1 species
GUCCACGCCAUAAACGAUGGGUACUAGGUGUUCGGGGUAUUGACCCCCUGAGUGCCGCAGCUAACGCAUUAAGUACCCCGCCUGGGGAAUACGGCCGCAAGGUUAAAAACUCAAAGGAAUUGACGGGGGCCCGCACAAGCGGUGGAGCAUGUGGUUUAAUUCGACGCAACGCGAAGAACCUUACCUGGGCUAGACAACAUCGGACCGUCCUGGAAACAGGGCCUUCCCGCAAGGGACCGGUGGUUCAGGUGCUGCAUGGCUGUCGU